GAUGAACGCUAGCGGCAGGCUUAAUACAUGCAAGUCGUGGGGCAGCAGGUCUGUAGCAAUACAGAUGCUGGCGACCGGCAAACGGGUGCGGAACACGUACACAACUUUCCUUUAAGUGGGGAAUAGCCCAGAGAAAUUUGGAUUAAUACCCCGUAACAUAGUGAAAAGGCAUCUUUUUAUUAUUAUAGCAGCAAUGCGCUUAAUGAUGGGUGUGCGUCUGAUUAGGUAGUUGGCGGAGUAAUAGCCCACCAAGCCUACGAUCAGUAACUGGUGGGAGAGAACGACCAGGCACACGGGCACUGAGACACGGGCCCGACUCCUACGGGAGGCAGCAGUAAGGAAUAUUGGGCAAUGGACGCAAGUCUGACCCAGCCAUGCCGCGUGGAGGAUGAAGGUCCUCUGGAUUGUAAACUUCUUUUAUCUGGGAAGAAAUCCAUCUUUUCUUGAGUGGUUGACGGUACCAGAUGAAUAAGCACCGGCUAACUCCGUGCCAGCAGCCGCAGUAACAC
rnacentral:rRNA from 1 species